AUGAACGCUGGCGGCGUGCCUAAUACAUGCAAGUCGAGCGAACAGACGAGGAGCUUGCUCCUCUGACGUUAGCGGCGGACGGGUGAGUAACACGUGGAUAACCUACCUAUAAGACUGGGAUAACUUCGGGAAACCGGAGCUAAUACCGGAUAAUAUAUUGAACCGCAUGGUUCAAUAGUGAAAGACGGUUUUGCUGUCACUUAUGGAUGGAUCCGCGCCGCAUUAGCUAGUUGGUAAGGUAACGGCUUACCAAGGCAACGAUGCGUAGCCGACCUGAGAGGGUGAUCGGCCACACUGGAACUGAGACACGGUCCAGACUCCUACGGGAGGCAGCAGUAGGGAAUCUUCCGCAAUGGGCGAAAGCUUGACGGAGCAACGCCGCGUGAGUGAUGAAGGUCUUCGGAUCGUAAAACUCUGUUAUUAGGGAAGAACAAAUGUGUAAGUAACUAUGCACGUCUUGACGGUACCUAAUCAGAAAGCCACGGCUAACUACGUG
rnacentral:rRNA from 1 species